UACAGAGGGUGCAAGCGUUAAUCGGAAUUACUGGGCGUAAAGCGUGCGUAGACGGUUACAUAAGUCGGGUGUGAAAGCCCCGGGCUCAACCUGGGAAUUGCAUUCGAGACUGCGUAGCUAGGGUGCGGAAGAGGGAAGCGGAAUUUCCGGUGUAGCGGUGAAAUGCGUAGAUAUUCGCAAGAACACCAGUGGCGAGGGCGGCUCACUGGCCCGGUACUGACGCUGAGGUGCGAAAGCGUGGGGAGCAAACAGG
rnacentral:rRNA from 1 species